CUACGGGGGGCUGCAGUGGGGAAUAUUGCACAAUGGGCGCAAGCCUGAUGCAGCCAUGCCGCGUGUAUGAAGAAGGCCUUCGGGUUGUAAAGUACUUUCAGCGGGGAGGAAGGGAGUAAAGUUAAUACCUUUGCUCAUUGACGUUACCCGCAGAAGAAGCACCGGCUAACUCCGUGCCAGCAGCCGCGGUAAUACGGAGGGUGCAAGCGUUAAUCGGAAUGACUGGGCGUAAAGCGCACGCAGGCGGUUGUUAAGUCAGAUGUGAAAUCCCCGGGCUCAACCUGGGAACUGCAUCUGAUACUGGCAAGCUUGAGUCUCGUAGAGGGGGGUAGAAUUCCAGGUGUAGCGGUGAAAUGCGUAGAGAUCUGGAGGAAUACCGGUGGCGAGGGCGGCCCCCUGGACGAAGACUGACGCUCAGGUGCGAAAGCGUGGGGAGCAAACAGGAUUAGAUACCCCUGUAGUC
rnacentral:rRNA from 1 species